GUGACGUUUUCCCUUCUCUCUUUCUUUUUCUGUGUGUGUGUGUGUGUGUGUGUGUGUGGAAGCCUUGCCCUGCCCUGGCCAGAACAGUAGUCUGGAAUACCGAGGGCUUCUUCUUUCAGCAGCCUCAAAAGCCAAUCACAUCGCUCUAGCCUCGGGCUGCCAGCGGCCAGCCAAUCGGAGGAGCCCUCUGUGGUCACCUGACUCAGCAUGGCCCUGUCUGUCAAGCCAGUCGUAUAAAGCUCAGUAGGCUCAGACAAGGCUGUGAAUGUGUGUGUGUGUUUGUGUGUGUGUGCGCGUGCGCGUGUGCGCGUGCGCGUGUGCGUGAGACCGGCCGGGACUCUCUGUACCUUCAGUUUGCUUUGUGACUGAGAGAGAGAAGGAGAGCGAGAGCGCACGCGAGAAUGAGAGAGCGCUCCUGCGAGUAGCUAUUCAAGCAAGAAAGAGUGUGAGAGACAGACGAAAGAAAACGAAAAAGACGAGAGGAAAAGACUUUUAGCCGAUGAGGGAAGUUAAGUCCCCCCCCCCGUCCCCCCCCCAUGGACUCGACACUUUGGAAGCUACUUCCUCUCUGCAUUUUUAUUUUAUUUUUUUUUUUUGCUUUCUCUGCGAGUCCCUGAUUCCCGAGAUCCUUCGGCAUAACGGGACGAGCCUGGUCGGAGAUGAAGGUUACCCGACCCGGAACGACAGAAUCGGGUAUCGUCGAGUCGUCAUGGUUUCCGUCGCAAAGCACCCGCUCACCAUCUUCCAGCUCCACCCCUUGUGUACCUCUUGUGUAUUAUCUUUUUUUUUUUUUUUUUUUAUUAUUAUACACACACUUCUAAUCCACAGCCCCGCCUCUCUCCUCCAUCCAUAUUCAUCACCUUUAUCCCUAAUGAAGACCGGAGUGCAGCACGGAGGGAGGGAGAUGCAGACGCAGGCCUUUGAACUCCCACAAAGAGAGAGAGAGAGAGAGAGAGAGAGAGAGAGAGAGAGAGAGAGAGGUAGAGAGAGGGAGGGACAGAACACUGAGGGCUAGCGAUGAUAGAUGGAAGAGGACAAGGGAAAGAAAGGCAUGAGACAGCCAGACAGAGACAAUCACACGUCUCGUCUCAUGUGCGGAGAGAAAAGGAGAUGGCGUUGAUGGAUAGAAAAGAGGACAGAAGAAGAAAGGCAUGAGACAUACCAUCUUGACACAGCAGGGUUUCAGCUAACCGCAAAAUUGAGCCUACAAAUUACGCCUACGUUUAUUCAUCCGAAGGUCAAGAACCUUGUCAAAGCACCAAACAAUGCGUCUACAGUUUGAACACACAACCUUCAGGUUACGAGCGCAGAACCUUAAACGCUGAGCUACGGAGCGCACUCUGAGUAAAUUCUUUUACACGGCAAGAAAAACAAAAUAAAAAUACCAACG